UUAAUUAUUUUUAAUGACAUAUUCUGCACCAUAUCUAUAUGUAUCUUUUAAAUUUGGAAACCUUUAAGUGCACAAUACACAUGUGAGAUUCACAAAUAGGCUCUUGUUGAUGGUAAUGAUAGAAUAAAUUUUAGCAUUCCGUAUGGAGAAGUCCAAUCCCAAGUGUGUACAGUGACAAUGAAUUGGCGGUUGUUGAAUCCUAGUGUUCCCUUUGGCCAUUAACAUUGAUACAGGAGCAGCAAAGCAAAAUCCUGGGGCAGACAGAAGUGGAGCUACAGGGCUGGGAAAAUGAACAACUGUGGGGUGGAGGUGGAAACAUCAGUAGCAACAGGCGCCAAGUCUAAACACACCACAUGCUUGAAAACUAACAUUCAAGACUUGAUUUGAGUUCAGAACCCAUGGGGUUCUGAAGGAAGCCCAGCAGGGGACCUUGGAAGCUCUUUCCUCAUCCCAGUGGAGCUAUUUAAGCAGAGCUCCCCUCGGGAGGCCCUCUUUUGACAGCCCUGUGGAUAUCCCUCCACUAAGCUCAAAGGCAUGGUCCUGGCUUCCGACAAACAUGAGAGUGGCCAGGUGACUCUGACCUCCUUCUCCUGUCCCUGGAGAUUUGGUCUGAUCAUCCAGAGACAGUGUUAUACUUUCCUCACAUUCACUUUCACUCUGACUUCCAGUUCCCUACAGGAUCUAAGUGUCUGUCAAGCAUAUCCAUAAGUCAGACAACAUAUUGGCCACGGCCUAAAUAAAGGAAUAUACAAGUUAACCCUUUUCCUGUUUAGAAAAAAAAAAGUGCAGCUCACUGCCAAUGCUCAUUUAAUUGUACAUAAACACAGUAUUUGAGGCUGAAGCAAAUCUAACUCAUUUUCAAUGUGAAAAUAAAAUCUAAAAACUGUUCUUAGAGUUGUUUCUAAGAAGAACUAACAUCAGAAACAUCCGAAUCAUCAGAAUCCUCUAUUUCAGAAAAAAUUGAAUUUAUCAAAUGAAUCUUUGGCCAAUAACUCUUCGAGAAUGAUGUUAACAUCACGUGUAGGAAUGCUAUGUUUUCUAGGAUUUGACAUUUUCAGUGAUCGAGAAUUACUAUAUUUUAUAAACGGAGAUACCACUACUAAAAACAGAAUGCUAUAAAGAGUAUGAUGUCUUUUGUUCCAAAGUCGAUACACUAGAGUGAUGCAAAAAUAAUAAUAAAAUUAAGAUAUUUUGUGGCAAAGUUAUCUUAGGGUAAACACUGCAGCGGCAAGCACCACUGGAGAAUAUCCUCAGGGCAGAUGGGAAAGGGAAUGAACAUGCAUCUCAGAGGUGAGAGGAGCUGCUUCUGUAGCAGCCACCAUGGGGUUCCAUAGCUCACAUGCCAUUGGCACAACACAGAACCCUGAGCUGCAGAAUUGGCCCCUUAGCAUCCAGAAGACCAUGUGACAGGUGAUACCCCAAAUCAAUGAUGAGGAAUUGAACAUGGAGAUCCACUCAAGGACUGCAGGCCCUGUAAACAAACAAGUCAGGGACUGCAGCCCACUCUGUAGCAGUGGUCCUGGCCCUCUCAUGUUGCUCCUUUUGUGACUCUCUGGUCCUGCUCUGUUCCUGGAUCAACCCACUUCUAAUCAUCUCCAAUCUGUACCUUAUCCCUGACCCUGUAUGCUACACAUCCAUUAGCCUUCUGUUUCCUCAGGUUUUUAUUUAUUUGUUUAAAUUUAACAAACACAUUGAUCUUAGUACUUUACAAACAUGAAUCCCUACAAUGAUGAGACGAUGAGGUAAUCCUAGUGUUACCCCCACUUUGUAGGAAUUUGUCAUCACUUUUGCCUAUUAAUGUUCCUAGACACUGCAUAUAGCCAGCCUCUUGGGCAUCCAGCUAGUUCAGCGUCACUAUUAUCAGUCUUAUCAGUGCCUUUCUCAGAGCAGGGUUGGAUGGUACCCACUGUAUGGUAGCAAAAGAGCUCGAGCUUUUGGAGCUGGGCAGUCUGGGUUUGCACUUCAGGUUUCCCACAUACUAGCUGAGUGACUCUAAGCAAGUAAGGGUUUUCUCAUCUGUAAAGUAGGAAUCAAAUCUACCUUGGAGAGUCAUCCAGGAGGUUGAACAUCCAUAUGAAGAAAACCCUAGCACUGUGCCUGGAACAGAAAAGCGUUUAGGAAAUGAUAGCUACUGUUACUCCCCCAGGAGUAUAGAAAGUCCUGCUUGACUACAUUGCACACAGUUGAAACUUUAGAAGUAAAAGUGGCCUUCGAUUUUGGCUAGUUGGAUUCUUUCCUUUUUGAAUGAGGAAACUGAAGUCCAGAAAUCUUUAGACGUUUUUGAAGUCACCCGCUAAUUAACAAGAAAACAGAGGAAGAACUGAGGCCACCUGAUUCCUUACAGUGUUUUUAACUACCACCACACCCUGCCUCUUCUGAACUCGAAAGGCUCAAUCUCACAUGGGCAGAUCCCAAAACAGGAGAUGAUCUGUCAGACAAUGGAAGGCCCCAGCACAUUCUCCUCCUUCCAUUCAUUUUCCAGUAGAAGCAACUCUUUGCCUCAGACAUCUUCAGAUUCCGAGAUUAAUAAAGCUAUUGUUAAGAGACAAAUACACAGAGCUCUGCUACAGCUGCCUGCUUUUCAGUCACAGUGGUUUUUUGACUCAAUUCCUCCAAGCUUUGCAGAGGCUCAUCUUGUUUGAAAGAGAAAUGUGCCUUAAUCUCUUCUUUUCCUCCUUAUGUGAAUGGUCACCCCACUUGUAGGGCAAUAAAUGAUAUUGCUUUAGCUUAUAUUUAUCCUCUUCCAAUAAUUUACAGAUUGAAAUUUACUUCUUAGAGACAAAAAAAUAUUCCUGGGGCUGAAGCUGAACAAUCUGAUGUCUCUGGUAGCAGGAAUUUGGUUGUGGUAAUAUUGUUACCAUAUGGAUUAAUACGUAACUAUUGAAAACUGGGAUGAGAAUUCCAGGGCAUUUUACUGGGACCACCAAGAUGAUGAAUGACAUAUUCAAUUCUAAGGAACUGAAGUGAAGAAGAAUUCUGCAUUUUUAAAUUGGAGUAUCAUGUCAAAAUGAAAACCUUAUUAUAAAUAAAAGUACAUAUACACAUAGGAGCAAAACCUCUUCAGCUCUGGGAGGGAUCUAUGUGACACCAACAUAGUUAGAAUGUUUCAGAAUUAUUUAAAAAAACAAUGAAUCAGCACAGCUGUCAUCAUCAUUUAUUCCUUUCUUUCCCUAUAAUGAAGCACUGCUCCUUUUCCUCUCCCAAAUGAAAAUCAGUUGGGCAUGUCCUAGAAUAUUGAACUAUUUGGGGUUUUCAGGCCUUUUUGCUCAUGCCAUUUAUCACUGAGGCUACUGACUGGUGAGCAAUGGGUCCACCAUUGUGCUCUAAGGAGAUUUUUGUUUCAAGCACUGCUUUGUUUUAAGUUAGGUGUUGAAUGCGGCAUCAAAGGUAGGCAGGCAGACAUUCAGAGGCAGAUGUGGGCACAUUCCCAAAAGUUCAGUGCCAAGGGCCUUGUGUUUCUUAACAGAGGUGACCUGGAAAGAUUCCAAAAACAAGAUGAAAACUACAAAGUUGAAUUUGGUUAAAGGGAAGAAGAAAGGAAAGCAUUGAAAGCUUGAAUCCUGUUAACUUGAAAAGUUGAGUUCUGGUCUUUUAAAAGCUUCCUUCCAAAAUAGACCCGAAUUAGUUUAAUCUCUCGCCAAUUGUAGAUUUAAAUUUAGCUUCUCACACUUACUAAUCUUUUUAGCAGUGAAAAUAGCCAUUGUUGCUAAUAGGAAAUUGAUUUAGUAUUUUCUGUUUAUAAUGAACUUUUAGUUAACUUGGAUGGUUAAAACAAAGACCAUUGUUACUGAAUUUAUUAAUGGGUCCCUAGCUGAACAGAUGGAGGGAGAGUCACGGGUUAGGGCCAGCACACAGAAUCAGCCACAUUUGCACACAUCUUCCAUCACUUCCACUACUGCUGCUUUUCAUUUCAAGCACUGCUUUGUUUUAAGUUAGGUGUUUAGGAUGAAUUUUGGAUUUUGGACAAGUUGCUUAAUUUCUCUAAACCUCACUAGUGUCAUCUAUAAAAUGGGAAUGUUUUUGUGACAUGUAAGUGAGCAAAUGAAUACGAAGUAUAACACUUGCUACGUAAUGAGUAGAUUCUAAAAUUCUCUAGAAUUAUUCCAUUCAUUCUAUAACUCAUAGACAUGUUAAAUUGCAUAUAUUUGGAAAGAUCUGGAAGUAGUAUCAGGACCAACUGCAGACUUCCUUUUUACACAUGAAGUAAGUGAAAUAGAGUUGUCAGAUGCUUCACCUGGGACCACGUGGCCCGUAAGUCACAAAUUUGGCCAGAGCUAUGGUGAGAAUCCAGAUCUUUACUUUCUUUCCAUUGAACCUCAAAGUAGGUUCAAUGUAUAAGGCUAUUUUUAAUUUAACUGCCAUAAAAUAAUGAUUUUAUAGUGAUAUAAAAUGUGUAUUAUUACAGUGAUAUAAAACAUAACUCCUACAUAAAAUAACAACUACCAUUUAUUGAACGUGUAUUGCCAGUCAUUUUACUAAGUAUUUACAUAUAUUAUCUCAUUUAAUCCUCAUGUUGACCAUGAAGGCAAGUACUACUAUUGUACCUAUUUUUCAAAGUUGGAGAAAGUUAAACACAGGCAAUUUAAAUAAUUUGUCCAAAGUCAUACAUUUUACUAGUGGCAGAAACAUGGUUUGGAUUCAGGAAAUCCGUCCUUGGAGUCAGUGCUCUUAACCAUCACACUGACUGCAUUUGAAUAUUUGAAAAUGGGAAGAAGAUGAGGCACUUGAAUAUUUGAAAAUGAGGAGAAAAUGAGACUUAUGUGGAUUGUUAUCGCUCUCAUAUACAUGGGUGAACUUGGAAAACAAUGAGGGCAUGUUGCAAAGAACAGUAAAUUCAGAUAGCCACAUGUUGGUCAUCACAACUUUAUGGCUGCCUUUAAAUGACUCCCCAGAACACGUAGGUAGCUGUGUAGCUCUUAAGGAAGUUCAGGUGUCAGAUGCCCUCUUUUCAGGUGUCAGAAGCUCUGUUUUCAAAUGCUGCCUCUGUGUCUUUCUAGAAGACCAAACUUGUGUCCUCACACUUGUUGGGCUUUGGUUAUCUAUUUUAUUAAAAGAAUAUGAUAAACCUCAAGAUAUUAUUGGGAGGAUUUUAAAAGGUGUAAUGCAAUUGUGUGGCAUAUAAAACGGCCCCAGAGAGGGUCCCUGCCUUAGUGGAAAAUAUUUGGUAUCCUUUUCUAGUUUCCCUGAAUCCUCUACCAGCUUUAGAAAAUUACACCUAGUAACACAUUUACCCAUUUCCAUCGGGCUGGAAUCUAUUCAAGGCAAAAUGCAGUCAUUCCUGGGUCAGCCUGCCUGAGGCACAAGCCCUAAACACAAGACUGGACUGCAGACAAUGAUCCUCUCAAGGGUUGACUUAAAGGAGAUAAUUUCUACCCCACAAGCUUUUCAGAGCAUUUAGCUUUUGGAAGCACACGUCUGUUAGUUUGAGAGAUGCUUUCUAUUAGGUUGGUGCAAAAGUAAUGGCAAAAACAGCCAUUACUUUUGCACCAACCUAGUAUUUUUCUUUGAGGUUAGACCUCCAAAGACAAAGAUACACAAAAAAGCACAAUGUGUUGUUGGCCUGCAGUAACCCGGGCCUGAGCACAGCCAGAAAUGGAAAAAUACUCUCAAAGAGCUAGAGAAUGGGGAGCAGAUCUGAAAAGGGGUUUAACUAAUGUGGCAAAUGGCCCAGCACACACUCCUCUCUCCUGGUUUGUUUUGAUACAUCCCCACCUGGUCCCCAGGUGUGUAAGAACCACAAAAUACUCUUCAUGCCACUGCUCUGGGCCAGACUCAUGCAGUGGGAGCCAGGCUGUGCACCUCGGAACAAUGGCUUUAUUCUUUCAGGUGCCUGAAGAGAGGUCUGAAUGUAGAAGGAACUGCUGCUGCUAAGGGCAGGGGGGAAAAAGAGGUCAUAUACCUUGAGGAAUUUGGGCCCAAUGUAAAAAAUCAGGAAGUUGCAAGAUGCCAUGUCGAAAUGUGAAGCCGGUCCUUCCCUUCUAGCCUGUACCCCAAGUUUGAGAUAAUUGUGAAGGUGAAUUGGCUGCAUAUUGAGAAGGGAAAGGAGCAAGGAGAAAACUUUUUUUUUCUGUGAAAACCCAGAAGUUCAAGUCUAGAAAUACAAGGAAAUUGUCAGAACAGAAAGGUAGGGGGUGUUCUUGACUCCACACAAAGAUCUGUAGGAAUAAAGCAAGUUCUGGAGAGUUUCUUUUGGCGUUAAUUAUUUCACACUGGAAAUCAUCACAAAAUGGCAAAUUCUGGAAUUUCCACUUUUCCUUCACCUGAAGAGGGUAUACAUUUUUACUUUGGCCAGACAGAGACCUCAUGUUAUUAGAGACAGGGGUGAAUUGGAAAGAACAGUUUUCCACCUCACAGUUUUAUGGAAUUGGCAGGAAAACUUUACUAGUCUCAAGGCAAAAUACAGACUAUGAUAUUCUCAAAUUUUUCUAUUAGGAGAAAAGGUGGCAAGAACUUCAUAGAAUUUUGUCUGAGGAGAUUUGGCAAAGCAUCAUAUAGAUGUAUAUAUGAAAUUAAAUUUCUUAUAUGGAGCUUUUAGCUAUGGAGAAAACGAAUUGCAUCUCACAUAAAUGGGAUGAGACUUAGCUAUUUGUAACCUCGUUACAAUGAAAUAACUAAAAUUGUAAAGAGACAUUAAAUAAUAAUCUGCCUGCCUAAACAUGGGUUUUCUAGUUUGAAAUGAAUGCCUUGCAUCUAGAUUAAUAAGGUGACGCAAGACACUACAUCAUCUGGCAGGGGAAGAUUUAAAGCAGGUCAGGUUCCUUGGGAGGAGAGAAAAAUAACUUUUAAGAUGAAAGACCAAAAAAAAAAAGAAAAAAAAAAGAAAAAGAAAAACUUGUGUGUGGUCCAAACUUCUUUUUUUAAAAACAAUUUGCCAAAGGUGUUUAAGCUGCAUGGUGAUAGUUUUCUCAAAGUUUUAAUGAUUUACUUGCAAGGCAUGAUUAGUCAUAUCUUUGACCAGAUGAGGAACACAUAAAUAAAACCCCCUUUUUUUUUUAAUCUUUGGUGUUUAAUUCUGAGAGUAUUGGGAAAUGUGAUGAGAGAAGGUGCAUGUAAUAAUGCCUAUUUCCCAAGGAGGGUCGAGAGAGUGUUGGCAUUUGAUUGCACAUAAUUCUUUAAAAAUAUAAAUACUUAGUAAGUUUAGGCCAACAGGGGAAAGAACUCUGGCUAAAACAGGACAGACCUCCCAGAAAGCUUAAACUUGACCUUCUAAUAUCUGCUCUUGCAAUGGGUACACCAUGUAAGACCCUCUUAACCUGUGGCUCAGUCAAAUCUUCUAAUUAGGAAUAUUUUCUCUAUUUAUUGCCCUUUAAAAAUACAUGUGCUGGUCUUCCUGAAACCACAUUCUUUGAAGCAACCAAUGUGGUAUAGAGUAGCUUUAUCACCACAAAAUUAGAGAGACCUUUUAAAGAAAUACAUUUCUGUAAAUAUUCUUUUAUACUUCACUUGGUAGUUAGGGGGUAUAGACAGUGGUUUCAAAUAUCAGUGAUGACCUAGUUGUUUAAUUACAGUCAAUCACUCCGUAAUUUGUAGCUUCUUUUAGAGUCAUGAGAAAUAAUAGAUGGGAUUUCUUGUCCUAGUAGCUAUGUAGUGGCUAGGGUUUAACAAACUUUUUUUUUUAGUAUCUUAAGUUCAAAAUAUAUAAAAUAGAUGUAUUCUUUGUUCUUAUUUUAAAAUACACAGCUGUAGCUUCUAUAGUGUUAUCCUUAGUGCAUCUUCAAAUGGAAAACAAAUAGCAUAUACUAUAGAUACUGAUGCUAAUGAGAAAUCUCUUAACAUUGUAAGAAGUGUUUGGAAAAGGAAACAAACAGUGAAUUGUACAGGAUUUCAGGUGUUACUAUAUAUGGGGGAAAUGGCUCGAAAGGCAGAUACUGUAAGAUUUGGAAAUGAUUUGUAAGUAGUCUUUGGAUAAGGAUGUUGUUCUAAAUCUUCCUUCUACCCAUCCUACAGAUCAGUAUCCUGAGAACAUGUGCCAAGUCAAAUAAUUCCUCAAUUCAGCUGACCUAGUGUCCUAUUCUAGGCCUUGUUCUGUAUGUAACUGUCCCAGUGCAUGUCUUCUCUCUGGACAGCCAGCUUCUUCAGAAAAAUGGACUCCAAAACAACCAUUUUUAAGUUUCCCAUCUCCUGCUUUCCCUGCCGCCAAAUAAAUGAACAAAUCUCAAUCUGAGUAAAUCUCAGGAGUUAACAAUUGGUAAGAAAUGUAUCUCAGAAAAAUGGUGAUUAGAAUCAUGAAAUGAAGCUUGUUAAAUGUGUUUUGAGCCCGUUGGAAUGCAGGAGUUUUAUAAAAUACAAGAUGGUAUUGUUUUCCCCCGAAUGUGGGUGCCUCCAUGAGUUGUACUGUCGACAGGUUUACAUUUUACAGCAGUAUGUGAAUAGCAUGAGAAAAAACAAAACCAUCUGUAAUGUAUCUAGGGUUCUUUUCCAAUAAGUGUAUUUUUCGAUUAUAAGGAGCAUUAAAGUCACAUUAUAGAAAAUUUGGAAAAUAAAGAAAAGAACAGAGGAAUCAUCUAUAAUUAUUCAACUCCUAAAAUAACCACUAUUAAAAUGUUGAUGUAUUUCUUUUUAGUGUAUUUCACUUGGUAUAUUCUCGAUUUUCAACAACAGUUUUGUCAUUGAACAUUAAAUCUAAUACUUAUAUGAUUCCUUUUGAAAUUAGAAGUUGUUUUGUGAUAAAUGUCUUUAUGGCUGCAGGCUUUGGGGGGAAAUCGUAGGUUCUUGCAUUUAAAUGACUUUGAACUUAAUGAUGUGUUGUGCCUUAAAGCAAACAAUAGGGAAAUUAUAUUUUCAGCAUCUAGAGUUGUUUGUGUUACACUCCGAAGCCACUUCUUUUUUUCCAGCUUUUAAUCCCCUAGAGUACUUGAAGGAGCAGAACUAUGAGAAGCAACACCACACUAAUUUAGUUUUCAUGCAGAGAAAGACUCUAGUGCUGGAUUCAGAUAUUUUUGUGAGCAAAUAAAAAUCUCCGGAGACUUUGUAGCUUAGUGAAUAAAGGAUUGGCCUCCAACCAAACCCAACUAAAUGAAUUUGGUGGUCUCAGCUGAGUUUCCAGCAAGUUUUAGCCUGCAUUACAAAUUCAUCACGCACAAUUAUGUGCAAUUUGGCACAACUUCCAAUCCCUGCUUAGUAGAGGCCCUCUGUUUGGGACAGAAGGGGAGCAUAAAAUACUUCUUGUGCCUAGAGGGAGCAGUUCUCUUAGGUCAAGGUUGUGUUACAUAUGGAAAGGGAUGGGGUAGAAGUGUUGUCAAGCACAAAGAAUCUAGGAAUAUGUGGGUACUGAACAUUAGUUGUGUUUACCAUUUGAAAUUUCUCACUGUAAGGUUCUUCAUUCAAACAGAAGAUGACAGUUCUGACACCAGUGGGCACAUAGAUUCUCUCCCAGCUAAAACUGGAACAGUCCAUCAGGUGAACGCAUGCCCCAAACAAAUGCAGCAUGAGCUGUUACAAAACGCAGGGAGAGGAAUUGAUCCUUCCCACCAAAGAGAACCCUUUAUGCUGAAGGAGCUACAGACAUCCCGAUUGGUCUUGAUGGAAAACCCCUGUGGGUAGCGUGUGUCUCCUGCUAGUUCAUCUCCUCUGUCCCAGAAGGUGUGCUAGAAUAUUUGAGUAUUUAUGCGGUCUUCUCUAGACUGUUGAGUUCUUAUUCUGGCUGAAAUCAUGAAAAUGAAAUGCACUUGAAUGGGUGGAAAUGCUUUGGGGUGAAAUGAUAAUGUUUGUAUGUUUGGUUUAAAUAAUGAUGCUUACAUUGGACUUUCCCUUUAGGCUAAUCACUACAUUAAUUAUCUGGGUUUUCCAUUCAUCUUUUCCCUCAUGUUUAAAGUUUGAUUUUCUUCUUGCUGUCAAAAAUCAGUAGGUCUUUGUGUUUGGCUUUCUUACAGUAUAAUAGUAAUAUCAAUCAUGUCUACCAUUUAUUGAAUACCUACUUUGUCCCAGGUACUGUUUGGAUAUUUUAUCUUUAGUUUUUUGAGAAACUUUUGGGACAAAUAUUAGUCCUAUUUUAUAAAUGAUAAAGCUAUGGCUUAGAAAAGUUAAGGUUCUUGCCCAAGGCAUUAUGCCUAUUUUAGAAUAGGGCCUCACCUGUGUCUGGGACAUUGACUCCUUCACUACAUGCUGUGACAUAAUCCCACAUUGCUGGUUGAGAUUGGGUUAAUAGAACAGAAGCCUUCACUUGGAGAAGAAAGAAUUUUCUUCUUUUUCACAGAGAAGGAGACGGUUCCUUUAAUGAAAUGCGUGUAGAAAUGUGGAAUUUACACUUGAUGAAGGGCCAUGAUGUUACUGGCUCUGUAAAGAAGCAGGGAAAGAAAAAUGAGCCAAUUUUUAAAACUAUGUAUCACCGAGAACCCAUUUGGAGCAGGAGAGGGGGGAUUAGACUUUGAUUCCCUUCACAUGCUCCUGGUGAACUAUCUCACCGUCAUCAGUAAGGAUGAUUUUAAAGACAGCCAAGGGAUGAAAGAAAAACAUCAAUGUUUGCACCUUUAAUUUAAAGUGUAGUGGUUUUCGAUGUUUUCUUUUUCCCUUCCCUAGCAUGUAAAAUACUGUUUCUAGACAGGUCAAUGAAAUAUUUUUCCUGUACUACAUCUUGGCUUCUUCCUGAUUGCUUCUGCUUCUCCUGUAGCUGCUGGUACAAGAGAAUGAUAAAGCAGACUCAUGCAAUGAUUGUGUAGAUUGACUUGCUGCUAGAGAAUUUUGACCGGGGGCAGGUAGCAUGCUCUUCCUUGCAAAGUGCCUUGGAAAAUGAGUGGCUUUUAAAACCACUUACCGUGAUUAUGUGUGUGUUUUCUAGGCUGGCAAAUACAAAAGGGUGGCUCAAGUUCAGAGAUCUGUUAAGUCUUUAGGAUGUCAGUGAAGACUACGUCUUUCUGUAGUGAACUCUAGGAAUGGUUAUAUUACUAGUUGCCAAGCAUAUUGCCACAUCUCACAGUCUUAUCACAUGUGACCUUCUCAUUUAGAUUUGCUUGGAAAUUUUAAUUUUUCCAGAAUCCUGGCAGGAGAGAUAACUCCAAAAUGCAUGUCUAAAUAUAGCCACUUUUCCUUUCAACUGUGGUAAGAUUACGUUUUUCUUUUUUUAAUGGCGAGAACUGCUUUAGGGUGGGAAGAGUGUGAGGAAUGUUUGUUUUGGAGAACCUCUACUGGCACAUGGAGUCUUCGAGUACAGCAAAGAAAGAAAUAUCAGUAUCUCCAGAGAAACAAAGGAGCCAUAAAAUCCAGAGCCUGUUUAGAGGUAUGUUAAUGGCAGGAAGGAGACCAGGGCUUCAGGAUGUACCCUGAAUAUGUGUGAGACUGCAUUAUGAACGACAUCACAGUGUACUUCUUGUGGUUUUCUUGCAAUUACCCCUCAGCCCAACUGAACACCUACUGAAAAGAGAUCUCCACUAACAGAGUUCUAAGUUAUGAUGAACAAUGCUCAUUAUAACACAGCUCUGCGAGUCUGGUCCUCUGUACAGACUUCCAAAUGAUUUUCAGAUGCCAAAUUGAAGGAUGACAAAUAUACAGAGGGAACACGUGAAAACUGCAGUAAGAUCGCACUGAAACAGAACAUCAAACAAUAGAACAUCUGAAUAAAUGUGAAGUAAACCCUGUGUUCUCUCCUUAGACAUUUCUUUAAAUGAGGUAGAAGGGGACAGCUAGACUAGGAUCCAUUUCUGGCCCAACCAUGUACAUACCAUCCCUUUGAGAGUUUCUGAAAUGCACUAAGAUUAACUUUCCUAAUCUAUUAAUUCUAUAUUAUAGGACUGUGGGGUUUUGUGAGGGAAGGGAGUUAUUAAAUAAGGUAACUUAAAUUACAAAUGUCGCAAAGUCUUCUAUACUUUCUUGUAGCUAUUGUCUUUCCCUGACUCUUCAGGGAGUUUUCUGUAGACACUGCUUUUGGCUGUGGAGAAAGUGGUAAGGAGAGGACACUGUCACCCCGGGUUAAAGACUUUUUUCCUUUGAGUAUAUGUUUAAGGCAUUUGAGUACGUGUUUAAGGCCUUUCAUUUGCAAAAGGUAGGCCUAGGACAGAGAAAUAGUUCUCUGAUCAUGGGGUCAUCAGCUACCCACAGAGAUCAGCCAAGCCAACUCAGACCAGAACUGCCCAGCUGACCCCCAGAAUCAUCAGAAAAUUUUUUAAAGUGAUAAUUACUUUAAGCCACUGUGUUUCAGGGUUGUUUGUUACUGAGCAAUGAAUAACAGAUGUGAGGCUUCUCAGAUGAUGGAAGCAUCCUGGUUGACUGUCCCCUUGGACUAAGGUUAGAUCCUGAAUUAAUCAGAUCUUUGCCACAGCAAGACUAUUUUAAACUGAAAGACACUGUCCUACCUUGAGGCUACAAAUGAAAAGUAGUUUUUCUUCCAGCCAGUUAGAACUUGAGGGCCUGUGACGAGGCCAAGCUCAGGUAUGGAGGAAAAAUGUUACAUUCCUCUACUUUUGAAUACCUUUUUAUGAAAAUUGACAACAGUGCUCCUGAAACUUUACUGUACAUAUGAAUCACCUGGGGUCUGGUUAAUGCAGAUUCUGAUUCAGUAGGUCUAGAAUAGGCCCCAGAUUCUGCAUUUGUAACAGGCUGCCAGGUAAUGGUGAUACUGCUGCUCAUUGCUUUGUGGACCAUAUUUUGAGGCUUUACAUUACCAAAUGCUUAGUACCUGUAUUAGUCUGUUCUCACACUGCUAUAAAGACAUACUUGAGACCAGGGCUAUAAAGACCUGAUGCUGGGUAAUUCAAGAAGAAAAGAUGUUUAAUUGACUCACAGUUACAUAUGCUGUACAGGAAGUGUAGCUGGGGAGGCCUUAGG